rnacentral:rRNA from 1 species
AUUGAACGCUGGCGGCAUGCUUUACACAUGCAAGUCGAGCGGCAGCGCGGGGGGCAACCCUGGCGGCGAGCGGCGAACGGGUGAGUAAUGCAUCGGAACGUAUCCUGUAGUGGGGAAUAACUCACCGAAAGGUGAGCUAAUACCGCAUAAGCUCUGAGGAGGAAAGCGGGGGACCGAAAGGCCUCGCGCUGCAGGAGCGGCCGAUGUCCGAUUAGCUAGUUGGUGAGGUAAAGGCUCACCAAGGCGACGAUCGGUAGCUGGUCUGAGAGGAUGAUCAGCCACACUGGGACUGAGACACGGCCCAGACUCCUACGGGAGGCAGCAGUGGGGAAUUUUGGACAAAUGGGGGAAACCCUGAUCCAGCCAUGCCGCGUGAGUGAAGAAGGCCUGGUGUAAG